GGUGAGUACGCGUGGGUUACCUGCCCUUAAGUCUGGGAUACCAUUUGGAAAAAGAUGCUAAUACCGGAAAAAAUCUUCUUUCGCAAGAAAAAAGUUUAAAAGGCGGCGGAAGCUGUUGCUAAAAGAUGGACCUGCUAUGCCUUAGCUAGUUGGUAAGGUAACAGCUUACCAAGGCGAUGAUGCAUAGUCGAGUUGAAAGACUGAUCGGCCACAUUGGGGCUGAAACCCCGCCCCUACUCCUACGGGGGGCAGCAAUAGGUAAUCUUCCACAAUGGACAAACGGCUGAUGGACCAACGCCCCGGGAGUGAAAAAGGAUUUCUGACCCAAAGCUCUGUGUUUUUGAAAGAAGGAGAAGAGGGAUUAUCUCUCUUUUUUUUGACGGAAAACCACCAGAAAGUCU
rnacentral:rRNA from 1 species